AGCAUAUAGCAGCACUGUGCUUUGCCCUGAGAUGGGCUGAGCUGUUGUGUGAGCUCUACUCCUUUUGGGAUAUGUGAUAGGGAUCACAAGGAAAGCCUGGAAUACUACGGGGUAUUGAAAGGAAGCUUUUAUGCAAGGCAGUGGUUUCUGAGAUUUGUGAGACAAGCCUGGGUAAAAUUCAAAUGCCUGUGUGAUUUAAUCCAUUCGGAGCUGUUGCACUAAAUCACAGUAGCUGUUGCUGACAUCCAGCCCACAGAAACCUGGAAGCUGAUGAUAUAAGUUUAUCUGCGUAUCUACAGAGGCUUUUUUCAUAUCAACCUGGUACAUCACCUUCAGACCAUCCAUCUUCCUCCUCCUCGAUCUGCUUGCACGGAUUUCCAGAUUUUGCUGCCAAUUUUGAAGCUCCUCGGUGAUUCUCACAGUUUUUCCCUGUCAGAAAAGAGUACAAAAUCCAACUCGCCCUUUGCCCAAUGUACAGCCAUCCAGAGUACCUAGAUGGCUUUUCCAGCCCACCAGCUCUGCCUGUGCUCUAUCUCUGCCUUCCUUCCAUGAAUGUGAUGGGGACAGAAGGACUGGGGACCUCUU